rnacentral:tRNA from 1 species
AGUUAAUAAGUUUUUAAAAACAUAUAUUUUGAAAAUAUAAAAAAGAAGUUCAAACCUUCUAUUAACUU